CCUACGGGUGGCAGCAGUGGGGCAUAUUGCGCAAUGGGGGCAACCCUGAUGCAGCGACGCCGCGUGAGUGAAGAAGUAUUUCGGUAUGUAAAGCUCUAUCAGCAGGGAAGAAGCAAGACGGUACCUGACUAAGAAGCCCCGGCUAACUACGUGCCAGCAGCCGCGGUAAUACGGAGUAUGCGAGCGUUAUCCGGAUUUAUUGGGUUUAAAGGGUGCGCAGGCGGAAUGUCAAGUCAGCGGUAAAAUUUCGGGGCUCAACCCCGUCGUGCCGUUGAAAAUGGCGUUCUUGAGUGAGCGAGAAGUAGGCGGAAUGCGUGGUGUAGCGGUGAAAUGCAUAGAUAGUACGCAGAACUCCGAUUGCGAAGGCAGCAUACCGGCGCUCAACUGACGCUCAUGCACGAAAGCGUGGGUAGCGAACAGGAUUAGAUACCCCGGUAGUC
rnacentral:rRNA from 1 species